GGGGCCGUCUGCUAGCCUGGUAGGCUUCCAGCAUGGGGUGCUGGAGACCCGAGUUCGAAUCUCGGCGGCCCCA
rnacentral:tRNA from 1 species